rnacentral:rRNA from 5 species
AAGUGCGAUAAGUGGUAUCA